GGCUCCACAAGAGCAGAAAAGUCCUUCUCCCACAUGGGAAGAACAACUAUUAUUUAUGAGCCUGUCUGAAGAGGAGCUCCACAUGAGGAGGGACAGGGGAGCUGUCUGGGAGCUGUCCGAGCAUCGGUUCAUGACACCAAGUUGUACUGGAGGCUUGUGAGGACAGGCCUGGAGGAGGAGGAGGAGGCAACGAGAGCCGGGAUUUCCUCUGGCCAUCUUUCCAAUCAGCCCAGUGACCUUUAUUUACUCUUCUUCUUCUUUUUUCUUUUUCAUUGUUUACUUUUUAAUUUUCAUUUAA